UACAGAGGGUGCGAGCGUUAAUCGGAAUUACUGGGCGUAAAGCGUGCGCAGACGGUCACGUAAGUCGGGUGUGAAAGCCCCGGGCUCAACCUGGGAAUUGCAUUCGAGACUGCGUGGCUAGGGUGCGGAAGAGGGAAGCGGAAUUCUCGGUGUAGCGGUGAAAUGCGUAGAUAUCGAGAGGAACACCUGCGGCGAAGGCGGGUAGCUGGGCCGACACUGACGCUGAGGCGCGAAAGCCAGGGGAGCGAACGGG
rnacentral:rRNA from 1 species